UACCACCGAUAAUGGUGGU
rnacentral:snRNA from 1 species